CUCCCGUGUAGUCAUCUUUCUGAUAAAUUUGAUUUGUUUCACUAUCAACGAUGUAGACAUGUCAUUGAUCAGUUUAUUUGGUAACAUUAUCAACGAGGUAGACAUAUCUAUGAUCAGUUUAGUUUGUAACAGUAUCUCCAGUGUGGACAUCGUUCUGAUCCCGUUAGUUUGUAACAAUAUCUUCUUUGUAAAAUUAUGUAUGUAAAGUUUGGUUUCUCACAGUAUCUUAAGUGUAGACAUCCGUUUAAUUUGUAACAGUAUUUCCGGUGUAAAGAUAUUCAUUAUAAGUUGGUUUGUUACAGUAUCUCCGAUGUAAACAUCCCUAUUUUAUGUUAGGUUUAUUAUAGUAUCUCCGAGAAGACAUCCCUCUGGUCAGUUAGAUUUAUUAUAUUAUGUACGUUGUAGAACUAUCUCUGUUCAGUUUGGUUUGUUACUGUUACUACAGUGUAGACAUUUCUCUGUUCAUUUUAGUUUGUUACAUAAUCUACGGUGAUAACAUAUAUCUUAUUCGAUGUAUUUCUACAUCAUCAACAGUGUAAAAUAUGUGUAUUAUAUCUGCUCAGUUUCGUUUGUUACAGUACCUCCAGUGCAGGUAUCUCUAUGAUCACUUCUAAUGUAUAACAGUAUUAACGAUGUAGACUUAUCUGACCUGUUUGGAUUGAUCAAUUAUCUUGUGUGAAGACACUUUACUGACCAAUUGUUUUUUUUUCAGUAUCUGCUGCGUAGACAUAUCACAUAAAACACUGUCAUACCAUAUUUUGUGUGAUAUAUCAAUCUGUGUAUGUUAUUCUGCUGUUAUUCCGUAUCAACUUCACAAAUAAUACAGGAUGGUCUUGAUGUAUA
rnacentral:lncRNA from 1 species